rnacentral:lncRNA from 1 species
AAGCUAUUGUGUGCUAUUUAUUUUUGUUUGUACAUGUAUUAUUAAGUAAUACAUAUUUCCAUAUUCAUCAUUUUGUGAAAAAAGAUCCACGUUGUUUACACUAGAGAAAAAUUUGUGGAGGAAAGUGAAAAAUGGUAUACUUCAACCUGCAUUUAGACUUGAUCAGAUCUUCUCUAGCAGUGGAUGGUCUUUGUCAUCAUGAGUCCCUUGGAGUUGCCCUGGAUCCUUGCAUUACUGAUAAUAGAUAAAAAGAAAUCAAGGAAAGAAAGAAGAAAGGAAGAAAAGAAGGAAGGAAGGGAGGAAGAAAGAAAGGAAGAAAGAAAGGAAGGAAGGAAGGAAGAAAGGAAGGAAGAAAGGAAGGAAGAGGAGAGAAGGAAGGAAGCUAAAGAGAAAAAAAAAGAAAAGAAAGAAAGCCAUAGUCAUAUACCUUAAUUUAUCACAUGGUCUAUACUUGAAGCUUCUCCAGUUUAUUGCCACAAGAGCUUGAGAAUACCAGACUAUCUUUAUGCCAUGAUGAGAUAUCAGGAUAGAGCUAUAGUGGAGGACAAAAUUUCCGUGAGAGCAUAUGAUUCAUAGCCAAGAGGGUGCUGAGCUUGAAGUAAUUAAGAGUAGGGUUCAAAUCUUGCUAUUGAUACUAACUGUUCAAACAUAGGCACCUCACUCAAUCUCUGUAUGACAUAAGCAACUUCCCAGGACUUUUCACCUAAAUCAAAGAUAGGCUGUGAGCUGCAUUGAUGGAGGGGAAUUCCCUAGGUUGACAAAAUCAUAGAUCUUUUGUCUAUAUGUGUAAAUCUUUGUCAUGAGAACUGUGAGUAGAAUAGUGUUGAUCAAACCGAGAAGCUGUCAGUUAUACACCAUGCUGUCUCCUCAUAAAUGAAAGAUCUGUUAUAAUCCUACUAAAAAUCACUCUGGGGCAGCUACAUGGUGCAGUGAAUAGAGUAAGGACCAACGUGGAAUCUGUAAGACCCAAGUUCAAAGUCAGCCUCAGAUACUUACUAGCUAUGUGACCCUGGACAAGUCUCUUAAACGUGUUUGC